rnacentral:rRNA from 1 species
UACGAAGGGGGCUAGCGUUGCUCGGAAUGACUGGGCGUAAAGGGCGCGUAGGCGGAUUGUACAGUCAGGCGUGAAAUUCCCGGGCUCAACCUGGGGGCUGCGCUUGAGACGUGCGAUCUUGAGUGGGGAAGAGGGUCGUGGAAUUCCCAGUGUAGAGGUGAAAUUCGUAGAUAUUGGGAAGAACACCGGUGGCGAAGGCGGCGACCUGGUCCUUGACUGACGCUGAGGCGCGAAAGCGUGGGAGCAAACAGG